rnacentral:misc_RNA from 1 species
AACUUUCUUUGCAGGGUAUGUAUUUGAUUGCUUGUACUUGCUGCUUGUAAAUUAGUAUUUGUGUUUGAAUGUUCAAUUGUACUUUAAUUGAGUAGAAUCUGAUUCAUAUCCUAUUUUUUCCAUAUGGACUACAUGAAAGAGGAAUGUACUACUGUUUAUUAUUUCAUUUUGCUUUGCCUUUUUUAUUUUCACACUUUUGUCUUACUUUUAUUUAAAUUUUUUUUAUCCCACAACAAUGUUUAAAUUGCAAGCAUACAACAACAACACCAACUAGGCGUUAAUCCCAAACUAGUUGGG